ensembl:misc_RNA Metazoa_SRP Metazoan signal recognition particle RNA
GCCGGGCGUGGUGGCUCACGCCUGUAAUCCCAGCACUUUGGGAGGCCGAGGCGGGUGGAUCACCUGAGGUCGGGAGUUCAAGACCAGCCUGACCAACAUGGAGAAACCCUGUCUUUA